AUCGUUGGAUUCAGUCCCCCAAGACGCUUACUCUAGCUCAAAAACACUAGCUUAUAGAAUAUUUUAAUAUCUUAUUCUUACAACGUGUGGAAUAGCAGAAAGAAGUUGUGUAACGUAGAAAUAUAGACACAAACUGUAUUGUGUGAGGUAGAAACAGAACUGUAUAGAGGAAAGACAAAAUAUAUUCAAGCAUCAUGGAACUGAUUUGGGAUUUAAACAGACGGAUUUUACCAUUUGUUUUAAUGUUUCUCUAUAUUGUAAUGAAAACUGGGAGUGAAAAAGCACCAAGGCCUGCGACAGCGUAUCAUGACAUACAGAUGCAAACGAUUUUCAAUAUCAAAGACUGGUCGGCAGAACUAAGCAAAAAGCUUGUAGGCUUCAGUAAAUCUGUAACUUCCUUCACAGAUAUAUCAGAGGAUUACGGAAGAUAUUUCUCCAGUAAAGCUGUAUCAGGAGACAUACUGAUUCAAACAAUUGCAAACGACAUAAAUGACUUGCUCAAAGAAAAGCUCGAUGCAGUUCUGGCACUUGCCACAGAGGCGGAGAGAAUCUAUAAGGACUACCAAUAUGAUCCAGACAUAGAUAUACAUUUCCUUAAUAGCAAGAAGCUGUACAGCUCAGACAAACAAAUGCAACAAUCACGAUUGAUGGAACUUACACCAGAUGACAACUACAACCACGAACUUGUGAAUCACGAAAACAGUACCGUGCAUGUACCUGCACAUAUUAACGACAGGCGUGAGUAUUCGCACAGCCAUAUUCCUUCGAGUAACAAGAACAGUGUUCCGAAAUUUCUGAACGGUGCGUAUUGGACACAGAGACUGAACGACCAGUUCAAGGCGAAUGAAAUGAAGGAUAAUUCCUUACGUUGGCAAUACUUUUGUGGAACGGACGGUUUAUUCAGGAUUUUUCCUGGAAUAAAAUGGCCUACAGACCAGAACGGGACAGAUAGUUUCGAUUGUCGGCUUCGACCCUGGUACCAGCUAGCAGCAACUUUGCCAAAGAAUGUGUUGAUCUUGAUGGAUAGCAGUAAGAGCAUGGAGGGCUCAGGAAUGACUAUAGCCCGUGGCACAGUCAAAGCGAUACUUAAUACACUAGGUGAUGACGAUCUUGUCAACAUUCUCGGGUUUUCGGAUAAAGUGGAAUACAUAGAUGACUGCUUCACAGACACAUUGAUGCCUGCUACAACUCAGAAUAAGCGCCAUCUGCAAGACGCUGUCGAACAGAACGUUAAGGCCAGUAAUACGGCAGAUUUUAAGGGCGCUUUUGACAAGGCAUACAACAUUUUGAACACUUUGGAGAAGCAACGCAGAGGAAGACUAUGUAACACGGCUAUACUGUUGAUAACAAACAGUGAACCAGAAAAUUAUGUGUCCGUGUUUGAAUAUUUCACCAACAGUUUCACGAAUAUAACGACCAAAGUGUUCACGUUUGUGGUCGGUAAGGGCGUUGAUGACAGCAGAGAAAUAAGGCGGAUGGCUUGUGCAAAUGAAGGUUACUAUUCACGUGUAUCAGCUCUUGCCGAUGUUCAAGACAAUGUGCAGAACUAUAUUAAAGUGAUGAGUAGACAAAUGGUUAAAGAUCGCUACCGAAACAAAAUAUGGACGCCCAUUUACCUUGACUACAUGUCGUACCAGGACAAAAUAGAUCUAAACAAGGGUUUGCAGUUUAUGAUAUCCGUUGCCGUUCCUGUGUUUGACAAGAGAAAUGACACGUUUUCAGAAGGGAAUCUACUUGGUGUAAUGGGAACAGAUAUGCCAAUUAAAAUGAUCAAAGAAAUGAUGCCAGUAAAUAAGCUUGGUGCAAAUGGAUACGCCUUCAUGAUAAAUCACAAUGGUUAUGUUUUGAUGCACCCAAACUACAGGCCUUAUAGAAAGAUUACUUCGACGAAAUACUGGUAUGAUUUCGAUGGCGAGGAUUUGGUCUUACAUCCUGACUACCAGAAUGUCGAAUUUACAGAGGUUGUCGAACCAGCGCAAAGAUUUCACUUUAAACAGUUUAUAUCAACACUACUGUCAGAGAAAACUAACUUUGGGAGCGAAGAAGUUCAGUUUAUUGGCCACUACGAGAACAUGGAACGGAUGUUCAAAAGGAAAUAUAACAUUUACAGUCGAAAAUUGCAAGGUUCAGAUUUCAGCAUUGGAAUAGCCUUGCCUGCUACCAGUAUGAGCGAACCGAUAAACGCCACACCAGUGCCAUCGAAGAUAGAGCAUUCUUUGAAUGUACCAGACAUUGAACUUGCUCCAUGGUUUUAUUGUGAAGAUCUAGAUUCGGCUCUGACUGGAAGAAACAGAAUAGAUGAAUUGAAAAGACUUGUUAGCGAAGACAUAACAAAAUGUAAUCUGCAGUUACUAGGAAAUUUAGUGCACGAUAUAGACCUUAGACGACUCUGGGAGAGAAGUAAUAUGAACAGUCAAGGUAUUGAGCUUUUAUUCAUCGGAACCAGUUCCGGACUUAGCAUGUACACAUCAGCAAACGACUCCGUUCCGGAGUUCGUCUUAGACAACGCCGAUACGUUGAAUGCACUUUACUACAGACGAGCUGUUGAAGGCGUAGAAAGAGUUGAUGGUCAAUCUGCUUACAGCUUCACCUACUCUAUUCCUCUCGGUGAAGAAAUUAACCCAGAGUCAACUCUAGUGACAGCUAGUGCUCCUAUAAUAAAGGCAAAUACAGAGAGGCCUGAUGAACCUACUGUUUAUGCCGUCGUUGGAUUUCAGAUGAAGUUUGACACAUUAAAAAGUUUAAUGAAUACAGCAACAAGCAAGGCUCCGACGUUUGACGGACAUAGCAGUGCUUGUGAUGGACAGUCUAUUAGUUGCUAUCUGGUAGAUAAUCACGGUUACUUAAUCAUGUCAGAUGGAUACUUCAAAAGCGAAGGAUAUUUUUUUGGGAUAGAGGAGAAUGCUGUUAUGGCAGCUCUAGUCCGUAAUGGCAUCUUUAAAGGCUACAACUUUACAGAUUAUCAAGCACUCUGUGAACGUGAAAUACAAGCAUCAGAAAAAGAAAUGAAUAGUGGCGUACCAUUACUUAAUGUUUGUUUCGAAGUUCAGUAUGAAAUCUGUAUGGACGAGUUGGAAUUUAGUUCAUUCAACCCAGGCUGAACAUGAACUAUGUAAGCAAAUUCUUGACGAAUACGAUUAUGAAGAUCUCGAAGGACCUGCAGAGCGUUUGGCAUAUAAUCAUGUGCUGCAUUUAUGCUCCUCUGAAAAGAAGAUCGUGGAACACCGUCCUUGUCACAGA
rnacentral:misc_RNA from 1 species